UACGUAGGGUGCAAGCGUUAAUCGGAAUUACUGGGCGUAAAGCGUGCGCAGGCGGUUGUGCAAGACAGAUGUGAAAUCCCCGGGCUCAACCUGGGAAUUGCAUUUGUGACCGCACGGCUAGAGUGUGUCAGGAGGGGGUAGAAUUCCACGUGUAGCAGUGAAAUGCGUAGAGAUGUGGAGGAAUACCGAGUGGCGAAGGCAGCCCCUGGGAUAACACUGACGCUCAUGCACGAAAGCGUGGGGAGCAAACAGG
rnacentral:rRNA from 1 species